AGCUUUGUGCAGAUGCCAAUAUCAUAGCCAAUGAAGUUUAACCGAGGCAUGAUUAUUGCUGAUCAUGACUAUUGCUAGAAAAGAAGAGGAAAAGAAUACCAUCUACUUCUGACACUUUGGUUUUCUGGGAGUGCCUAUGGCU